ACGCUCGACACCUACGGGAGGCAGCAGUGGGGGAUAUUGCACAAUGGAGGAAACUCUGAUGCAGCGACGCCGCGUGAGGGAAGACGGUUUUCGGAUUGUAAACCUCUGUCUUCAGGGACGAAAUGAAUGACGGUACCUGAGGAGGAAGCUCCGGCUAACUACGUGCUAGCAGCCGCGGUAAUCUGAGCGGGCUGGCAAGGC
rnacentral:rRNA from 1 species